CUUCUUUCGAAUGCAAAGAAUAAAUCAUCUAAACUCACAUAACAUAUGGCCAAUAAUUAUGGAAGCAAUCAAAUCAUAUAAAUCAAACAAUUGUCCAACUGAAACUUUAUAUUGAAUUUAUGAAAUAAAGGAAAUUAAAUAAUCAAAGGUUCAUCGAUUUCCUAAUGAAUAAAAACCCUAGCCUAUGAUCAUAAUUACAGAAUCAAGAAUUAAAAUGAAAUUAAAAGAUAUAAAGAAUACACCCGUAUGAUAAUCCUUCAAUUUUGUGUGUAAUCUUCAAUUCCUUCUUGAAUCCUUGUGAAAUCAAGCCCAAGAUUGUGUUUCUUGCCUUCAAAUUGAGUGUAUUUUUUCUCCCUGGUCGUUCAUGCCCUCAAUUUUAUGAUUUUGGGUUUUUAUAUCGCGUAAAAAUCAAGUAGGAAAAGAGUUUCAACGAAAACAAAAAACUGCAACGGAGGCCCCCGAA
rnacentral:lncRNA from 1 species